rnacentral:tRNA from 1 species
GCGCUGGUUAUGUAAGGCGUAGAAUCUCUGCCCGGAAAGCAGAAGGUGCGGGUUCGAGUCCCGCCUGGCACA